rnacentral:misc_RNA from 1 species
CAGAGUCGUAAAACACUCCCAAACCCAUGUGAACUUACCUUUGUUGCCUCGGCAGGACCUACCCUGUAGCUACCUGUAGCUGCUGUGUAACCUGCCGGUGGACCACUAAACUAUUGUUAUUUUAUGGAUAUCUGAGCGUCUUAUUUAAUAAGUCA